GCUCCCAUAGCUUAACUGGAUAGAGCACGGCCCUCCGAAGGCUGUGAUGGCAGUUCAAUUCCGCCUGGGAGCACCA
rnacentral:tRNA from 1 species